GACGAACGCUGGCGGCGUGCCUAACACAUGCAAGUCGAACGAGAUUUUAUCAGAUGAAUUUUUCGGAAGGAUUCUGGUAUUUGACAGUGGCGAACGGGUGAGUAACGCGUGGGUAACCUGCCUUUAACUGGGGGAUAACACCGGGAAACUGGUGCUAAUACCGCAUAGUUGAUACCAUGGCAUCAUGGAAUCAGGAAAGGAGUAAUCCGGUUUAAGAUGGACCCGCGUCCAAUCAGCUAGUUGGUGUGGUAAAGGCUCACCAAGGCAUCGAUCAGUAGCUGGUCUGAGAGGAUGAUCAGCCACACUGGGACUGAGACACGGCCCAGACUCCUACGGGAGGCAGCAGUGGGGAAUUUUCCGCAAUGGGCGCAAGCCUGACGGAGCAACGCCGCGUGAGGGAUGAAGGCCUCUGGGCUGUAAACCUCUUUUAUCAAGGAAGAAGAUCUGACGGUACUUGAUGAAUAAGCCACGGCUAAUUCCGUGCCAGCAGCCGCGGUAAUACGGGAGUGGC
rnacentral:rRNA from 1 species